GCGCUCGCUUCAGCAGCACAUACACUGAAAAUUGGAACAACACACAGAAAAUUUGCAUGGCCCCUGUGCAAGGAUGACAUGUAAAUUUUUUUAAGUUAAAGAGUUCAA